rnacentral:rRNA from 1 species
UACGUAGGGUGCGAGCGUUGUCCGGAAUUAUUGGGCGUAAAGAGCUCGUAGGCGGUCUGUCGCGUCUGCUGUGAAAACCCCGAGGCUCAACCUCGGGCCUGCAGUGGGUACGGGCAGACUAGAGUGCGGUAGGGGGAGAAUGGAACUCCUGGUGUAGCGGUGGAAUGCGCAGAUAUCAGGAAGAACACCGAUGGCGAAGGCAGUUCUCUGGGCCGUAACUGACGCUGAGGAGCGAAAGCGUGGGGGAGCGAACAGG